rnacentral:rRNA from 1 species
UACGAAGGGGGCUAGCGUUGCUCGGAAUUACUGGGCGUAAAGGGAGCGUAGGCGGAUAGUUCAGUCAGAGGUGAAAGCCCAGGGCUCAACCUUGGAACUGCCUUUGAUACUGGCUAUCUUGAGUUUGGGAGAGGUAUGUGGAACUCCGAGUGUAGAGGUAGAAAUUCGUAGAUAUUCGGAAGAACACCAGUGGCGAAGGCGACAUACUGGCCCAAUACUGACGCUGAGGCUCGAAAGCGUGGGGAGCAAACAGGG